CGAGGUGUAGCGCAGCCCGGUAGCGCACCUGCUUUGGGAGCAGGGGGUCGGUGGUUCAAAUCCACUCACCUCGA
rnacentral:tRNA from 1 species